rnacentral:rRNA from 1 species
AAAAUCCCAUAGCAAACUGCUCAGUAACACAUGUAUCAACUUGCCCUAUGGAGGACAAUAACCUCGGGAAACUGAGGAUAAUAGUCCAUAGAUUGAUUAGGCUUGGAAAAGUUUUUCAAUGAAUGGAAUAAGAAAAAUGGUUCUUAUUUGCCAUAGGAUAGGAUCGUGCUCGAUUAUGGUUGUUGGUGAGGUAAAGGCUCACCAAGCCGAUAAUCGAUAGGGGCCGUGAGAGCGGUUGCCCCGAGAUGGGUACUGAGAUAACGACCCAGGCCUUACGAGGCGCAGCAGGCGCGAGACCUCAUCACUACACGAAAGUGUGAAUGGGUUACCCAAAGUGUCCUUAUUGGACUGUGGUAGGUGAGUAAUGUUCCCUACUAGAAAGGAGAGGGCAAGGCUGGUGCCAGCCGCCGCGGUAAAACCAGCUCUUCAAGUGGUCGGGAUAAUUAUUGGGCUUAAAGUGUCCGUAGCCGGUAUGGUAAGUUCCUGGUAAAAUCGGGUAGCUUAACUAUCUGUGUGCUAGGAAUACUGCUAUACUAGAGGGCGGGAGAGGUCUGAGGUACUACGGGGGUAGGGGUGAAAUCUUAUAAUCCUCGAGGACCACCAGUGGCGAAGGCGUCAGACUGGAACGCGCCUGACGGUGAGGGACGAAAGCCAGGGGAGCGAACCGGAUUAGAUACCCGGGUAGUCCUGGCCGUAAACGAUGCGCACUA